GUUGGCUGGUAGACGUAUCAGUACGAUUACUGGUGCGGCGGUUAUCCACUUCAGUUCAUAUGCUCCAACGCAGAUUUAGAAGUAUUUUACAGGAAUUCGACGCCAUGGGUUGGUUUCAGUGACGGCCGGUGAGGCAGUUACGGUCUUUUGUUCCACACCGACUCGUACUUUUCCAGUUUCGCUGUCUCCAUGUGGUCCCUACGGAAUGAUCCAAAUAUUGCCGAGGACCUGCGUGUUGGAAUGUGUUUUAUUACAAUAAGAAAAAUACAGUUAAACUAAAUUUUCCCAUUGGUGUUGUCUACCGAGUUCAUCUUUACCAGUUUUAGCAAGGUUUUUUUUUUACUUUUACUUGAAUUAAAUAGAUGUUUUAUUAUGAAGAGAACCCUUUUCCUUACAAGAACAAUAACAUAAAAAAAUUGCUAUUGUUAGUAUGUUAACUUGAAGAAAACUUACUUUAAAACAAUUUUGUCAAAACUACUUAAAUGGCAUUAGAUAUGUUUUAAUUCAGCGUAUUUAACUUUCUGAAGAUCUUUAAACAUUUCAAGGAAAGAUGAUACGAUGAAUAUUAAAGACGGGAUGAAAAAAGAAAAACUGCUAUCCCUAGAUUCUUCAGAACUUCAAUAUCCUAUUUUUCCUUUUCCUCCACCCCAUAGGGCUUACAUAGUAGGCGUAGGCCUACUGAGCGAGUCCUUGGAGUUUUUUAGAUGACCAUGAGUUUUAACUUAACUAUUACUAGUAAUUUCUUAAAACUGAUACUAGCAAUCUUUUAAACUGAUAAUCUAGUGAUUUCAGUAAAUUACCGUCGCACUAUGUUUUGUACACAUGCCAUGGUUUGUAUAAAUCUGAUAGUUUGUAUAAAAACUGGUAUGAGUUUCUGUCUUAACAGUUAACUUGUAUUAGUAGGCCAUAUAUUAAGUGCUAUAUGGUUACUGAUUUUAUUAGCUUAAUCCAUUCGGGUUUUAGUUCUUCUCACCCUAUCACUGAGAAUUCAAAAGCUAUUUUUUGGAAUAUAUUAGUUUGGUCAGUUUUUCAUAUGUAACUUAAGUUUUCUGUUGAGGUCAGUUUGAUCUUUAUUGAAGAACUAUACAAUGAUUACUUCUGGAUUAGUGUUUCUAGUUUUUCAAAGCUACCAUUUUAUCUUCAGUUUCGGAUCAUGAAAUUUAUUUAAACUUUUAAAAAUCCAUGGUUAUAACAUUUUAGAUAUUUGGUAGGUGUUAGUAUUUUGGAGGAUUGAUGUUUUAUAUAUUUUGUAAUUUGAAAAGACUUUGCAUAAAGAAAAACUUAACGUAAUGAGCAACAGCGUACGUUAACUUUUUUUUCUACCUUUUAGUAAGGUUUGCUUUUAAUUUAGUUUUAUCCAGAGCUUUUCACGACUUACGGGUGACCUUCCUCAGACUCAAGGAUUUGGAGUACGCCUUUUUCCAUCUUUUACAAAAACGAGGCUUUUCUCAUUUUAGUUUUGAAGUGUGAUAAAAUAGGUUUUGAUAAAUCAUUCUGUAACCGUAGAUUCAUGAUUAAGAAAGAUUUUGGUGUGUGCACCAUCCUGUAAUUGCUGUUUGUAACCACAUAAAAGUGGCCGUGAUUGUCAGAAAAAGUGUACAUGAACUGUUAAAUAUUUUUAUUUAAGAUACAAGGAUAUAAUUUCUAUUUUAGAGAUUUGUCUUAAUGGUUCUAAUCUGGAUAUGUAUUGCAUAUCAAAUUAUUAACAAAUAUAAAGGAAAUUGACUGUGACUAUAUUUUGAAAUGUCAUAUUAUAGCCUUCAGUGAUCUGAUGGCUGAGAGGUUGAAAGUCUGUCAGGGCUUAAGUCUCGGCAGUUGGCCGUUUGUGUGAAACUGACGAAAUCCUAGAUAUUCAUUGGUAAAAAAAAAAAAAAAUGGUAUUGGCAACUUGUGUAGUCCCUUGUACAA